UGGGGAAUCUUGCACAAUGGGCGAAAGCCUGAUGCAGCAACGCCGCGUGCGGGAAGACAGCCCUAGGGUUGUAAACCGCUUUCAGCAGGGAAGAAACUGACGGUACCUGCAGAAGAAGAUGCGGCCAACUACGUGCCAGCAGCCGCGGUGACACGUAGGCAUCAAGCGUUAUCCGGAUUUAUUGGGCGUAAAGAGCUCGUAGGCGGUUCGGUAAGUCGGGUGUGAAAACUCUGGGCUCAACCCAGAGAGGCCACUCGAUACUGCUGUGACUAGAGUGCGGUAGGGGAGCGGGGAAUUCCUGGUGUAGCGGUGAAAUGCGCAGAUAUCAGGAGGAACACCAGUGGCGAAGGCGCCGCUCUGGGCCGUAACUGACGCUGAGGAGCGAAAGCAUGGGUAGCAAACAGGAUUAGAUACCCUGGUAGUCCAUGCCGUAAAACGUUGGGCACUAGGUGUGGGUCUCAACCGAACGAGAUCCGCGCCGUCGCUAACGCAUUAAGUGCCCGCCUGGGAGUACGGUCGCAAGAUU
rnacentral:rRNA from 1 species